AACGCACGAGACCUGCGGACCUGCGGAGGGAUCAUUACUGAGUGUUGAUUUGUUUUUUAACGGAUCGCCUCCCACCCUUUGUUUAUCAAAACCUGUUGCUUCGGCGUUUCGAUUCCAAUCUUUUUGUCAAAAAGAAAGAUUUGAACCGUUGGCUUCUUUUAAGCGAAUGUGUUAUUCGCCGAAGGACAUUUUUAUACUCUUGUUUUUGAAGUUGUCUGAGUUUGAAAUAUCAAAAAAAAA
rnacentral:misc_RNA from 1 species